UUAGACUUAGAUUUAAAAAAAGAAAAAAAGUAUGUUCUAUAUGAAUUAUCGACUGCUAUAGGCAAAGUAAAUGAGAUUUACACUAGAGAUGUCAAUGCUGCGAUUUUGAAAUUAAAGAAAUAUCGGAUAUCAAACGAAUACCAUAAAUUCAUUUAGGGCGAUAUAAUUCUUCUUUGUUAUUCGUUUUUAUAUGUAAGCUACGCAGUUUGGUAUCUGAUUUAAGGAUACGUAGAACUGCGGUGAGUUUUCCUUGUGAUCUAUUAUAUUACAAUACACAGGUUGUAUAAGUAGCAACUGAGUAUAGGUAUUGUAUUAACUGGGUUAUAAUGUUACCUAUCACUAAUAUAG